ACGAACGCUGGCGGCGUGCUUAACACAUGCAAGUCGAACGGAAAGGCCCUGCUUUUGUGGGGUGCUCGAGUGGCGAACGGGCGAGUAACACGUGAGUAACCUGCCCUUGACUUUGGGAUAACUUCAGGAAACUGGGGCUAAUACCGGAUAGGAGCUCCUGCUGCAUGGUGGGGGUUGGAAAGUUUCGGCGGCUGGGGAUGGACUCGCGGCUUAUCAGCUUGUUGGUGGGGUAGUGGCUUACCAAGGCUUUGACGGGUAGCCGGCCUGAGAGGGUGACCGGCCACAUUGGGACUGAGAUACGGCCCAGACUCCUACGGGAGGCAGCAGUGGGGAAUAUUGCACAAUGGGCGGAAGCCUGAUGCAGCAACGCCGCGUGCGGGAUGACGGCCUUCGGGUUGUAAACCGCUUUCGCCUGUGACGAAGCGUGAGUGACGGUAAUGGGUAAAGAAGCACCGGCUAACUACGUG
rnacentral:rRNA from 1 species